GGCGGACGGGUGAGAUGGUUUAAAGGUAACCUGCCUGUAGACUGGGAUAACUCCUUGAAACCGGGGCUAAUACCGGAUGGUUGUCUGAACCGCAUGGUUCAGACAUAAAAGGUGGCUUCGGCUACCACUUACAGAUGGACCCGCGGCGCAUUAGCUAGUUGGUGAGGUAACGGCUCACCAAGGCGACGAUGCGUAGCCGACCUGAGAGGGUGAUCGGCCACACUGGGACUGAGACACGGCCCAGACUCCUACGGGAGGCAGCAGUAGGGAAUCUUCCGCAAUGGACGAAAGUCUGACGGAGCAACGCCGCGUGAGUGAUGAAGGUUUUCGGAUCGUAAAGCUCUGUUGUUAGGGAAGAACAAGUGCCGUUCAAAUAGGGCGGCACCUUGACGGUACCUAACCAGAAAGCCAUGGCUAACUAACAAACAGCAGCCGCGGUAAU
rnacentral:rRNA from 1 species